rnacentral:rRNA from 1 species
UGGUGGGUAGUUUGACUGGGGCGGUCUCCUCCUAAAGAGUAACGGAGGAGCACGAAGGUUGGCUAAUCCUGGUCGGACAUCAGGAGGUUAGUGCAAUGGCAUAAGCCAGCUUGACUGCGAGCGUGACGGCGCGAGCAGGUGCGAAAGCAGGUCAUAGUGAUCCGGUGGUUCUGAAUGGAAGGGCCAUCGCUCAACGGAUAAAAGGUACUCCGGGGAUAACAGGCUGAUACCGCCCAAGAGUUCAUAUCGACGGCGGUGUUUGGCACCUCGAUGUCGGCUCAUCACAUCCUGGGGCUGAAGUAGGUCCCAAGGGUAUGGCUGUUCGCCAUUUAAAGUGGUACGCGAGCUGGGUUUAGAACGUCGUGAGACAGUUCGGUCCCUAUCUGCCGUGGGCGCUGGAGAACUGAGGGGGGCUGCUCCUAGUACGAGAGGACCGGAGUGGACGCAUCACUGGUGUUCGGGUUGUCAUGCCAAUGGCACUGCCCGGUAGCUAAAUGCGGAAGAGAUAAGUGCUGAAAGCAUCUAAGCACGAAACUUGCCCCGAGAUGAGUUCUCCCUGACUCCUUGAGAGUCCUGAAGGAACGUUGAAGACGACG